CGUUGCUAUGGCGGAAGCCCCGCGUGGCGACGCCCUAGCCCCCGCGCGCACGCGCGAGCGGGCCGGGGAGAGAGCGGGGACCCGCAGCCCCCUCGCGCUCGGCUCCCCCUCCGCCACCCGACCGAGAUGCCCAAUCACAGGGCAGCCGCCGGCUGAUUGACGCCCCGGCCGACUAAUGGCGACGCCCCUCAGAGUGGUGGGGCGGGGCUACCUGCCCCAAGAGUUUUUCACUACCUACUUUGGUGCGAUCUCAGUCUGGCACUCCUGAUUGGCUCGCGCUGCUGCGGCAAGAGCCUUGCGCUUCCCACCGGCACCCGCGGAUCCCAGAUCCCGGCGCCUGCUUCGUCCGGAUGGCCGAAACGUCUGGCUUUGUCCUCGGCACAAAGCUGAUCCCGAGCAAACGCUGCUGCGGAGACCGGGGCGCUCGGAGAAGCCGCUGUUCUGUGUUUAUGGUAGUCCUGCUCACUCCGACCGCUACGACAAUACUCGUUCCUUAAUGUUUUCAGGCAGUGAAGCUCGGGCUGCUUGUAAACAGAGUAAACAGGCACCGACUGAUGUUACGAAAAUGUAUAGAAAGUUAGGUUUUUAUUACUGAAUCCUGACUGCAGCGAUGUUCCUGGUUUGAAUCGAUGAGUAAACCCCCCCAGCAUCAAGCUUAUUUAAGUAUGUGCCUACUUGUAAGCAGAAAACAAAACCAAGACUUGGCAUGUUUUCAAGGCUAGGGUAUGAGGCAACUAACAUGAAGCUUCAAUUCUAAAGGUGUGAGCCAUGCUUACAUACCGUACAGUUUUCAUCCAUAUUGCUGUUCUAAUUAAAGGGGUUUAAUAUUGAUUUCAUUUUUCCCCUCCUUGUAGCCUACCCCAGUGAAUGCCCUUUGUAGAUGCUGUUAGGCCUGUUCACAUUAGAUAGAAGUUGCGGAAAGACACCAUACAGAAGAUUCAUGUAUUGAAAAAGCAGUCCUAUUGCAUCAGGCUCUUGUGUGGGGUGACUUACUCUGACCAAGGGUUCCUUUUGUAAGAGAAUUUGCAAUAGAUUUGUAGUGAAACUAGCAAAAGACCUACCAGCAUGACCUGAGCUUGAAUUGGACUGAGGGGAUAGUUUUUCCCUAUGGUCUUUUCUGAUAUAUUUAAUCAUGGAAUGCUUAAAUUCAAAACCAAAUGUUGACUUACGUUGGAAGUAUUAGCAAGAAUUGAGCAGGGAUGUUUUUUAUUUUUUUUCUCUUUAAACAAAUCAGGUAUAAUGCCUGUGUAAUAGGUAGAGCUUCAGUUCUAAGCAUAUGUUUCUCUGGACAACUUCUAGUCCUGCCUUCUUGCUGUGACUGUUCUGGUGGGGAGAGGAAAUCAAGGCAGGCUCUGUUUGGCAGUGGGGGUCAAUGCCAUAUGGCAGUGCCAUGGCUGACCUCUAUCUCCAGUGGCAUGUAGCAGAGAGCUGGGGCAGCUGUGCUUUUUAGUCUUAAUUUAUGUGAGUAAUUUGCCUGUUUGCUGUUCCAAGCUUGCUCUUCAUAGAUGGGUUUCGCUAUGACAGAGGGUUACAGAAGUGAGACAUCCUGGGGAGGAGGGGAAGAGGAUGAUGUAAAGUCAUGAGAACAGGGCUGGGACUGUUUCAUGUUGUAUACUUAUAAGGGAAAAUGAGUUGGAACUGGCCUGUUGGCUCACUCUGUUUCAAGAGGUCUUUUUGGAAACACUGCAGCGGGUGGAGAAGGUAUCUAACUGGUUAAAGAAACUUCAGUGAGGACAGGAACUCCUUCACAGCAGAAUAAGAUAUCUCAUGGUUUGGGAACCACUGCUGCACAUAAAUCCUGUGCUGCUGUUUGUGUAGAGGAAAGGGAGUCUGUUUUUCCAGCCCUGUGCUGCUCCUCACUCAGCCCUCUCCUCACACAUCUGAGACCUUAAGCAUCACCCCAACUGUUUGCAGCCCUGCAAUUCCCUUAGUGAGAGCUUGCAGUAGGGUCCUCUCACGGCUGCUACGUAGCUGUUGUCUUGAUGCCUGAAAAUGAAGGGAAGCUCCUUGUUUUGAGAAGGGCAGGAGGAAAUUUUGGUUCUAUUUACAAGGUCCCUAUCCAUCAGUCCCACACUUUUGAUGGGAUAGAGACCUGAGCAGAGGUGAGGAAGUUGUGCCUUGUGGCUUAUUGCCACACUGACAGUAACCCUCCCGCUUCUUACUGCACUGCACGCCCUGUUUUGGCCAGCUAUUGUGGUGUAUGAGUGAGCAAGGCUAGAGGUUUCUUGGGGUGAGACUUAGCUCUUUGUCCCCACCUUUCAGUGCAAUACAAGGUUGUUACAAAGACAGAUGUGAAUUCUGUGACUUGUACAGCAUUGUGGAGAGGAAGGGGUUCUUUACUAGCUCUUCUACCUUUCAACACUGAACAACCUUUGUCCUUUUAGCCUCCUGUUAGUGCUAUAAAUAAGCUAAGCUAAAAGCUCAAGCUGUAUGUUUGGAUGAACCAAUAUUGAAAGAUGAAUUCUCCUCCCUUUUUUAAGGUAAAUGGUGUUUGCAAUUAGCCUGAAACUUCCUCCUCCCCACCUCAGAAAAAUCCAUCCCCCAGCCAUAGGGGACCCCAAGAAAUUUCAGUAAUUCUGUAGCUGAUGGUGACUGCUGUGGCUCCAGGCAGAAACAACUGGUGUGAACUGCAGUUGACAAGUGUCUGUCCAGUGAAUGAUCGCUUCAAAAUCCAGCAUGGUCAUUAUAAAAAGACACCCACAGACUCCAUUUUUGCACAAGACCCUGAAUCAACAGAAACCUGAGAUCAAUACAUCUGCCUCACUGACUAGCAUUUGCUAGAAUCACAUUUGAGACUGUGACUACUUGCUUACUUUAUAUGCUAUUUGAACUCCCCCUCCUGUCCUCCAAGCUACUGACUCAUUUCCUCCUCUAAAAACCUUCCUUUUUUAGCCUUUCGCUCUGAAGUAUUUGGUAGCUGUUUUGAGCUGCAUGCUCCAUACCUUACUUAGGCAAACUCCUACAUGACAGCCCUGAAAGCCUUGCUUUUGUACCAUGGAAAUCGUUUGUUUUUCCCUAUUAGUUUCAGUUCUGAGGGGCAGUCUUAGCUACUGACUGUAUUCCUCAGCAAAUUGCUUUCUUACUGUUUGAAAUCAGGGAGGCAGACAAUCAGCAAAGCAGCUGGUGAGCUGAAACUACCACUACUUAUGCUAAUUAACUGUUGUCUCCCUCUUAGCCCCCACUUUCCCCAUCAGCCCUGCAUCCACCUGCUGUUUUUCAAACAUUUGUCCUGAUCUCACAGUUUGGGCAGGGAUCACAGAGGCUGCUCUUAGUCUGGACAACCACCCCAGGCCUGCAGAGCACCCAGUGGAAGGAUCAGGCCCUGACUCUACGUGCUGUGUCAUGUAAGCGAAGGAAGCAGGUGGUGUCCCCUUGUGUAAGGCCUGGCAUGGUGGUAGCCCAGAGCUUUGGUCAUGGCUGAUGGAUGCUACUGUAACUGCACUAGAUGAGUGUGCCUGAAAUGUAGUUCCUUUUUCACAGGGCUUAUGGAAUAUUGGUUCUGUGCUUUUGGCAUUGCAAGGAUCAGCAAAGAUAAUUAUAGACAGGAACAGAAAGUCUCUGUAAACCUUACAUUCGUAGCUAUUUCACUGGCAGAAACAAAGCCACAAGGAGCCUAUCACUGUGCAUUGCUGAAAUAUUCAGUUUAUUAGGUGCAUUGGAGUAAAAAUUUAAAGGGAAAUUUUGAGAGAGAAGGAGAACCUAAAGGUGAUUUCCAGAAACUGCUGUGAUGCUCUAUUCCUUUUCUCAGGAGGCGGUGAGGUGCAGCAAACAGCGUGCAGAAACCAAGAGCCCAGUGUCUCGUCUAAUGCUCUGUCCUUGCCCCUGGAGUGAAACUGGGCAAGCUGCUUUUCCCCUUUACAUUAGAUAUUUGGUUUUGAAGCGUUAACUUUGUUCCUGCCUUUUCUAUAUUGCAAUUUGAGAUUUGGGGCAGAUCAGAGCUAGAUGUUGUUUAUAAAUACUUGCUAUUUUUACAGUAAUGAAAAGGCUGUCCUAAAUUGCUACAGAUGAAUGCCAGAACUUGUAUUCCUUUUAAUUUGCUAUCAACUUCCACAAUUGCUGCAGGUUGUAAUCCUUUUAAUUUCCAUAUGGUAAAACCUGCAGGCUAUGAACAACCAGACCUGCUUGCUGCUGGGUUAAUUUUCAUCAGAAACCUUUCUGGAUUGAGUGUGAUGGGGAAGGUAGCCCAAUGCUUCAUCAUCCCUGGGGCGUUUUUUCCACUGAAAGGACAAAGGAGUAAAUAGCACAAGAAGGCAGCUGAGGAAUGGAACAGCUCUGUGUUAAUUUAAGUAUACAAGAAUGUCAUCAAGCUACUGACCUACCUGGCUUAUCUAUUUACUUAUCUUUUUUCCCCCCCUUUGAUUUUGUUGCCACUAAAGGACCUGGAUGGUGAGAAUGAAAAGCAUUCUGCCCCAGAAUCAGCUAAAGGACUAGUUGCUGCUCAACUCUCCCCUAAAUUGUCAAAACAGGCAAUGUGCAAAACUUAAAAUUAUAUUUUCCCUGCUUACAUGUGAAUUGGAUCUUAAAUCCUGUCAGUAUGAGAAGGGAGGCACAUAUUGAGCACAGAGGCCUUGAACUCCUCUUAACCAGUAGGUAAAGCUUUAGGCAGCAUCUCUGGCCACAUUACCUAAAAGCUUUGCAGCAUUCACUGUGAUUAUGCUCCUGAGCUUUUGCUGUGAGACAGGGCUGCAAAUGCAGCCCCUUUUAUAGAUGAGGAGGGCUGAGCUGAGAGAAGCUGCACGACUCUCCCAGCCUCAGGCAGGAAGUCUGUGGUAAGUCCUAUGAAGCCUUUGCUACCCUAACCUUCAGGCCGUCUCUUUUCUGCGCAUGUAAGAUGAUAAUGCUGCUACAUCAAAUGUACAAUGGCUGCAGAAAUUUCUAGAAGAAUAAGCAUUUUUGGCUUAUGUGGGCUUUGUUCCAGGUGAGGAGGUGGUUGCUGAUGCCAUUAGCAAUUGCUAUCUGCAAUGCUAUUAAUAAUUAUUUUAUUUCCUGACUAAAUUAGCCCCCACUCCUCUCACACCGUGACCUAGACAGAAGGUUGCCUUAGCAGUUUGAUUUUCUUAGACAGAAUUUACACUUAGGUGCAUCAGAAUAAUAAAGAAGCCUUUUGGAGGUGUGUUGCUCCUGCAUGAUGGCGGUUCUGGCUUGGGAACUGCUAGCCUGUUUAUUUUUGUCAGAGCUGUGGCCACUUAUUGAACCUGUGUAGGUUUGGCACUGUGGAAUGGGGGAAAGUUGGUUCUUGUUAUUAGUGGUUAAAAUUGGGAGUUCAUUACAAGGAAGGCUUCUGAGGGUAAGAUUAGAUGGCAUGUGAAUUAGCCCUAUCCCAUGUGUCACCAAACAUGCAAGGUGCUGUACAGGCGUAGACUGGAAAAUCCCCACCCUAAUCUGCUUACUGUCUAACCAUAAGAAAUGCAUGGGGUAAUGAAAAAGGAAGCAAUGAGGCCAUAUUAGUCAUUGCACGAGGGAUGUUCAUCAACAGAAGCCUUAUAGCUGUGGAGGGUUUGCUAGAAGGUAGUGAAGGUCCAUCUGUGAAAAGAUGUAGCAUUGAAUGUGAUUUCUGGGAAUGCAGUGGUGUGUGAGGGGAGUGUUCUGAGAAUUUAGGGUGGUUACUGCAGGCCUGAGUUGCAGAGGCAGGUAUGGAGAGGUAAGCACUCAUUUCCAAAGCACAGCCCUGGCUAUUGUGGUGCUGGAGAGAAGCCACAGCACUGCCAGUGCCUGUGGAAUACAGCUGGGGCAAGCUGCAGGACAAAUCUGCCCACAGCCUGGGAUUGGGUGGGUCUAAGCUGGAUGUGCCAGUAGUGUGGUGGUAGGUGCUAGGGUGAGCAAGCAUACCAGGUUUUUUUUGCCUUCCAGUAUAUCAGGUAGUCUAAAAAAGGGCAUUGCUUUCCUGAUGAACCUGCCUCACACAUAGAUGGACAACACUCCUUGCCACUUCUGCCACUUGGACUGUGCAAGGUGAGGUGUAGGAGCAGGAGGACAUUGCAGAGACAAACUGGAAAAGAAGAGGAUCUCUCUGUGUUUCCUGCAAAUGUGCAGGCAGACAGAACACAGCUAUGGAUGGGAGCCUCUGACAGUAUCCCUGACCUCUCUCCUGUCUGUGUUGUGGGUGCCAUCAGCCUGCAGGAUGUGGUCUUUGUGUAUAGAUCAUGAAUGGAGUUGAGUGGCUUGAUAGCUAUAGCUCUGCCACCUGGGCAGACAGCUGGGCCAUGGUGAGCUAUGUGUAUGUGCUGUGGUUGUUCUUGUCCAGGGACAUGGCUAUGGGGAGGUCUCUACUGAAAAACAGGGUAGUGCGAGUGGAACAUCCCUUUCCCACCACCCUUUUUAGAUCUGUUCUCUGUGUCAGAAUCUGUAUUGGUGGCCUGUGCUUGGCAUGCUGGCUGUCUUCUGGCAUGCUGAGUGGAGAAAGGCUGGCUGGUGUGGUGGAAUGAACCAGUUUGGUGAGCAAUCUUCAGCAACCACUGAUCUCUUUCUGAGCAUUUGCAUUGCUUAAGUUGCACAGAUCAGUUCUCCUGAUGGGUAAUCACCCAACAAGCUGUAUGUGGUUGCUGGCAAGAAGCAUGACUGCAGCUGCAUUUCUGAAGGAGGCCAGGAUGGACAGGUUGCCAAUCACAGAAUAUGCUGAGUUGGAAGGGACUCACAAGGAUCAUUGAGUCCAAUCCUUUGCCCUGCAGAGUAUUGUCCAAACACUUCUUGAACUCUGUCAGACUUGGCACUGUGACCACUUCCCUGGGGAGCCUCUUCCAGCACCCAGCCACCCUCUGGAUGAAGACCUUUUUUCUAAUAUCCAACCUAAACCUCCCCUGACAUGAACUCAGGCCAUUCUCUUGGGUCCUGUCACUAGUCACCACAGAGGAGAGAUCAGUGUCUACCCCUCCUCUUCCCCUCAUGAGGAAGUUGUAACUGCAAUGAGGUCUCCCCUCAGUCUCCUCUUCUCCAGGCUGAACAGACAAAGUGACCUCAGCCAUUCUGCUCUUCACACGACUUUCCCUUAAGGCCCUUUGCCAUCUCGGUUGCCCUCCUUUGGACUCUUUCUAAUAAAUUCAUAUCUUUCUUAUAUUGCAGUGCCCAAAACCGCACACAACUCCUGGACAGUGCUUCCCCUGUCAGAUUGCCCAUCACAGAAGUCUUACUCCCAGCAUAUGAUGCUUUGCUGUUGCCGUGCUCAAAAAGGUUUUUUGGAAGGGCGAGAGAUGCCAGAUGUGUCCAGAGGAGGAGCAGAGAGGAGCAGUGGCACACAACUGAGAACCAGGUGUCAAGCUGGCCCUUAAGGAGCAAACCUUGUACAUGAGCUCUCUGUAUGAGAUGGAGUGGUUUGGGUCCUCCAGGUCCCAUGAGACCCCAAACUGUUUGAGGGCUACUGGACACUUAAUCUUGACUGUUGCCUAAGAAGGCAAUGCCAAAAAUCAGGAGAGGUCGGCACGGGACUGUUUUCCUGUUAUCUCUUGAGACUUCCAUGUGAGCAGACAAAAGUAUGGGACCACUGAAAAUCCAUCUUUGCAGAUUCACAUUUUGCCACCAGAGAGCUCCCCUUCUCCACACCAAGGAAUGAAAAUAAAUUGCCUGCAAAGCCCUGGUUAUUGGAGUCUGAAGGAACAGCAGUGGGAUGAGUAUGAUGUACACAGGACGCUCACGGCAAGAGUAUGUUUUGGGGAGGUCCUGGUCCAGAGAAGGUCAGGAACCAGCAUACGGCACUGUCCCAGGCUGCCAGCCCAUCUGAAGAGGAUCUUGAGAAUCUAAUCUUAACUGUUUGGUGACUGCAUGACUCCUAAACUGGCAGGACACUUUUACCAUUCAAAUGCAACAGUGUGGACUUCACAGCAGAGGAUGGCUUGUUGAAGGGACUGGUUGGGCUGUUCUCUUGAGCAUGGGUAAGAGGGUUUUGGAGAAAGUGCCUUUCAUGUGGGGUCAGGAUCAGAGAGGACUGCAGAGGCCUCUUCUUCAGUGGGAUCUCCCUCCCUUGCUGCCACAGGCUUCGACUCACCCCAGCAAUGAGUCACACAUGGUGACUAAGCUGAUUAAGCCCAGGCAGAGAAGGAAGAACAGCAGGGGAUCAGAGAUGGAGGAAUUUCUGGACUCUACCUGGUCCCCAGGCUGGAGUCAGAAGGGGAACAAAACAGGGGCAGCUUAGAGGUCUCUCAUGAUUCUUGGGCCACUUUCUCAGCCUCCUCUGGUCUGUGGAUUCCCUGCAAACCCAGCUUCUGCCUCGUGCAAAGGGGCUGUGCUUUCCCUGGUAUUGCUUCUUUCACAGUGAAAACCCUUGUGCUCUUUCUUCCCCAUGCCCUCUGCUAGGGAAUGUCCAGUUACACAAACACUGUGUCUUUAAGGAGACUGAUUCACUGAUCAUCCACAUCAUUUCACCUGCCCUUGACAUGAUGUUCCCUCACCCACUUGGCUAUGCAAACCCCCUUAGAAGGGCCCCAGUGUUGCUCAUGAUGGAGCAGAUGGGGUUUCUAAGCAGCUUAAGUUGUCUCUUUAAGGACUUGUAGAAGCAGAUGUUAGAGCCCUUGGGUUUCAGGCAGCUGAGGUAUUGUAUAGAUGUUCUCUGCAUGUUUUCUGCUAUAAAUGCUAUCAUGGUAAGAGGUCUGCAACCUUCUUUUUCUCUCCUAAAGCAGCCUGAAAACUAGCAUUCAUAAUAGGAAAGAUAAGACUGUUUUCGUUUCCCCAGUGAUUCUGGAAACUAGGGCCCUAGCACGUGCCUUCAUCUGGCUGUGGGGAGAGAGCAGGUGGUUUUCACCUGAAUUAGAACCCCCUUUAAUCUUGUUCAAGGCUAUGUAAGUGAAGAGGUGAAUUACAUCCAAACCUGAGGCUGCUGAGGUGCCCUUGAAAUAUUGGACCCUUUUACAGCCAAAAUCCUUUGGGGUGGGGGGAGGCUUGCAUUUCUGACAUUAUUAAAGUGGACAUUGUUAAUUAUAUGUGAGGUUGGAUUACUGCAUGGCAUGCAGUGAGUUCUUAUUGUUAAUCAAGCAGAAGUAGAUGAAAUACAACUUUUGCUUUAUUAACAAUGACCUCCUGGAGGGACUUUCCCCUGUGGUUGAAAGGAAAUAUGCUGAGGGAAGAAAUAAAUAAAUAAUAAUGUGAUUAAAUGAGAUGUAUUAAGGCAUGUUUUCCAUCUCUCUCUCCUGAUUCUGGUCCUUGAUUCAAAUCUCAUUCAAUGUAUUAGCUACAUUUUGUGUUAUUGGGCAAUAGCCUUGCUUGUGCUGGUUUUACAAGCCAUCAGUUGUAUUAGAAGUUCAACUGAUAGCCAUACAGACAGCUAUUUCAACCUGACACAAAAUUAUUCAGAAUAACUGGAAAGAAAAUACCAAGUGUCAAUGUGGUUUAUUAAUUCCACACCCAGCUGCCCAACUUCUCUUUAUUCUGUCCUCUCUGACUUUGCAGCUCCCUAGAACUAGAAAAGAGGAAGGGUUGAAUGCACAAUGUCAAUGCAUGUUCCACGUGAGAGUGCCUACCUGAUUAGAGAGUAAUGCUCAAACAGCUGGGGCAUUUUGGCCUUUAAAAAUCUCUCAAGAGUACAGGAUCAUGCAUAAUUUUUUAUUCCCCCUGCUGCUCUCACUCAGGUAGUGUUUUGUUUAUUGUAGAGGUGUGUGUGUUCAUAUGGGCAUGGUUUUAUUAGUUUACUCUUAGUCUAGUAAUAAAUAUAUCUUGCAUAAUAAAUAUCUCUAAGUACUACAUGUUGCUGCUGGGCUGGUGCAGUGACGUAACAUCACAGCCUUGAUAACCCUUAUGGAUUUUAUUUCCCCUCGGACAUAUCACAAUAAUUUGUAGGGGUUUUUUCAGGUUCCAGCCCCAGGACUCACCUGAACAUACGCAAACCCAGCUACUUGUUACACUGCAUUUGGCUCUGGCUGCCAGUUUGACAGGGGAAAACUGGGAAAUCUAACCCUGCUUUAUGGCUGAUAUAUUUUAAAAGGAAUCAGAAAGCAAGUUAAAAAAGCAUUUAAGAGUGUAUUAGUUUUGAGAUAUUUCAAAGGUAAUCUCCUACCUUUAGGGAGUGUGAUUAUUUUUCAGUAUCUGAGGUUUGCUAUCUCAUUACUCAGUGACAGGAAAAGCUGUUGCCCCUCCUGCAGGCCCUAGUUUCCGUUCUGAGUGCCAUGCAGAGAUUAGAGGUCUGCAGGCUGGCUUUCAAGCCCUGCAGGAACCAGCUAAAUGCAGUUAUCUUUAGACGAGUGCAGAUAGCAGGCCUGGAGUGGAGGUACUCAGACAAUGUGCAAGAGGCUGCCACAUCGGAGAUUUUUCUGGGAAGUGCAACCGAAUUCUGAAACUGUCCAGAGAAUAGCUCUGCAUACAUGCUAGGAAUUGUCAAAGCAGAGAACAGGUGACAAAAUCUCCUACAUUUUAAGAUAUUCUUUCCCUUAAGAUCACAUGGCCCUUGAGUUAAUUUUCAAGUAGCAGCAGACUUGGGGAUAUGGCCCACAGCAACACUACCCAUUGAUGUGAGCCAUCAUAUUUUCACCUGCCAUUUCUGGUCCUGUCUUUAUGGGCAGGAGCCAGAUGCAGGCCCCCAGAUGGUGUCUAGCACUCCCAGUCUGACCAGUGACUUUGCAGGAGAGACAGACACUCAGACCUUGUGUCUCCUGCCCUGUUUAGAGACCAGCAGUCACCUUUGAUGACUAGUUGUCCUCAGACUUCCUUCUAAAGGGCAGGAGAAAGAGAUCCCUGACAAAGAAGCUGCAAGAGAGGGGGACAGCAAUGCACAGAGUACAUCACUUGCCUUGUUAAAAGCAGAAGAGGCAGACCCAACACUUCUCACUUGGCUGUAGAUCCCUGCUACAAGAACUGCUUUACCUCUUUAUUUUAGAACUCUACUUCUUUAUAUUAGAUGUAGUAAAGUGAUACAUUAGAGGACCAAUAGUAAAUAAAUCGUAUUGAAGAGGACUUCCUGGCCUGAGGAUACUUUAUAGUUUAAUUUUUACCAGAAGAGCAAUUACCACGUUAUGAAUCUUGCCAUUAAAAUAAUACAUACACAGUAAGGAUUAAUUAUGUUGUAAAAAAGCCAUGGAAAUCAACAGCAAGCACCACCAUAUAAAAUAUAACAAUUUCGAUCCAGUUUUGUUUAAAAAAAACCCAGACAUUCAAUUUUAAACAAAGAUUGGAUGUUCACAGAAUAUGUGGAGUUGGAAGGGACCCACAAGGAUCACUGAGUCCAAUCCUUUGCCCUGCACAGAACCAUCCCCAAGAGUCACACCAUGUGCCUGAGAGUAUUAUCCAAACACUUCCUGAACUCUGUCAGUCUUGGUGCUGUGACCACUUCCCUGGAAAGUCUCUUCCAGCACCCAACCACCCUCUGGAUGAAGACCCUUUUUCUAAUAUCCAACCUAUACCUCCCCUGACAUGAAUUCAGGCCAUUCCCUUGGGUCCUGUCACUGGUCACUACAGAGAAAAGGUCAAUGCCUGCCUCUCCUCUUCCCCUCAUGAGGAAGUUGUAGACUGCAAUGAGGUCUCCCCUCAGUCUCCUCCAGGCUGAAUAGACCGAGUGACUUCAGCUACUCUUCACACAUCUUCCCCUUAAGGCCCUUCACCAUCUCGGUUUCCCUCCUUCAGACACUCUCUAAUAGCUUAAUAUAUUUCUUAUAUUGUGGUGCCCAAACUGCACACAAUAUUCAAAGUGAGGCCGCCCCAGAGCAGAGCAGGACAAUCACCUACCUUGACUGACUGGCAAUGCUUUGCCUGUUUCC